rnacentral:tRNA from 1 species
GCGCACUUAGCUCAGUGGUUAGAGCAUCACUCUUGAAUGUUGAGGUUGCUGGUUCAAUUCCUGCAUUGCACA